GACGAACGCUGGCGGCGUGCCUAAUACAUGCAAGUUGAGCGAUGAAGAUUGGUGCUUGCACCAAUUUGAAGAGCAGCGAACGGGUGAGUAACGCGUGGGGAAUCUGCCUUUGAGCGGGGGACAACAUUUGGAAACGAAUGCUAAUACCGCAUAAUAACUUUAAACAUAAGUUUUAAGUUUGAAAGAUGCAAUUGCAUCACUCAAAGAUGAUCCCGCGUUGUAUUAGCUAGUUGGUGAGGUAAAGGCUCACCAAGGCGAUGAUACAUAGCCGACCUGAGAGGGUGAUCGGCCACAUUGGGACUGAGACACGGCCCAAACGCCUACGGGAGGCAGCAGUAGGGAAGCUUCGGCAAUGGACGAAAGUCUGGCCGAGCAACGCCGCGUGAGUGAAGAAGGUUUUCGGAUCGUAAAACUCUGUUGGUAGAGAAGAACGUUGGUGAGAGUGGAAAGCUCAUCAAGUGACGGUAACUACCCAGAAAGGGACGGCUAACUACGUG
rnacentral:rRNA from 1 species